AUGUGCUCCUCCACUGCACCGCACGUGAUCCCUUUGGAACCAUCUCCUCCUGUCUGUUUAUCAACGCAGCCGCUCCACAGGUGCCUGGGGAAUCACUUUCUCCUAAAAAUACCAGAGACUGAUGCAACAGCCCCGUGCAGUUACAGCCCAGAGCUUCCCCUCAAAGCCCAGCUGUGCAGUGUCACUGUCCAUCCCAUCCCAGCUGUGCAGUGUCACUGUCCCCUCUCCUGGCUCCUCAAAGCCCAGCUGUGCAGUGCCACUGUCCAUCCCAUCCCAGCUGUGCAGUGCCACUGUCCAGCCCAUCCCAGCUGUGCAGUGCCACUGUCCAGCCCAUCCCAGCUGUGCAGUGUCACUGUCCCUCUCCUGGCUGUCCAGCCCAUCCCAGCUGUGCAGUGUCACUGUCCCUCUCCUGGCUGUCCAUCCCAUCCCAGCUGUGCAGUGUCACUGUCCCCUCUCCUGGCUGUCCAGCCCAUCCCAGCUGUGCAGUGUCACUGUCCCUCUCCUGGCUGUCCAUCCCAUCCCAGCUGUGCAGUGUCACUGUCCCCUCUCCUGGCUGUCCAGCCCAUCCCAGCUGUGCAGUGUCACUGUCCCUCUCCUGGCUGUCCAUCCCAUCCCAGCUGUGCAGUGUCACUGUCCCCUCUCCUGGCUGUCCAGCCCAUCCCAGCUGUGCAGUGUCACUGUCCCUCUCCUGGCUGUCCAUCCCAUCCCAGCUGUGCAGUGUCACUGUCCCCUCUCCUGGCUGUCCAGCCCAUCCCAGCUGUGCAGUGUCACUGUCCCUCUCCUGGCUGUCCAUCCCAUCCCAGCUGUGCAGUGUCACUGUCCCCUCUCCUGGCUGUCCAGCCCAUCCCAGCUGUGCAGUGUCACUGUCCCUCUCCUGGCUGUCCAUCCCAUCCCAGCUGUGCAGUGUCACUGUCCCCUCUCCUGGCUGUCCAGCCCAUCCCAGCUGUGCAGUGUCACUGUCCCUCUCCUGGCUGUCCAUCCCAUCCCAGCUGUGCAGUGUCACUGUCCCCUCUCCUGGCUGUCCAGCCCAUCCCAGCUGUGCAGUGUCACUGUCCCUCUCCUGGCUGUCCAUCCCAUCCCAGCUGUGCAGUGUCACUGUCCCCUCUCCUGGCUGUCCAGCCCAUCCCAGCUGUGCAGUGUCACUGUCCCUCUCCUGGCUGUCCAUCCCAUCCCAGCUGUGCAGUGUCACUGUCCCCUCUCCUGGCUGUCCAGCCCAUCCCAGCUGUGCAGUGUCACUGUCCCUCUCCUGGCUGUCCAUCCCAUCCCAGCUGUGCAGUGUCACUGUCCCCUCUCCUGGCUGUCCAGCCCAUCCCAGCUGUGCAGUGUCACUGUCCCUCUCCUGGCUGUCCAUCCCAUCCCAGCUGUGCAGUGUCACUGUCCCCUCUCCUGGCUGUCCAGCCCAUCCCAGCUGUGCAGUGUCACUGUCCCUCUCCUGGCUGUCCAUCCCAUCCCAGCUGUGCAGUGUCACUGUCCCCUCUCCUGGCUGUCCAGCCCAUCCCAGCUGUGCAGUGUCACUGUCCCUCUCCUGGCUGUCCAUCCCAUCCCAGCUGUGCAGUGUCACUGUCCCCUCUCCUGGCUGUCCAGCCCAUCCCAGCUGUGCAGUGUCACUGUCCCUCUCCUGGCUGUCCAUCCCAUCCCAGCUGUGCAGUGUCACUGUCCCCUCUCCUGGCUGUCCAGCCCAUCCCAGCUGUGCAGUGUCACUGUCCCUCUCCUGGCUGUCCAUCCCAUCCCAGCUGUGCAGUGUCACUGUCCCCUCUCCUGGCUGUCCAGCCCAUCCCAGCUGUGCAGUGUCACUGUCCCUCUCCUGGCUGUCCAUCCCAUCCCAGCUGUGCAGUGUCACUGUCCCCUCUCCUGGCUGUCCAGCCCAUCCCAGCUGUGCAGUGUCACUGUCCCUCUCCUGGCUGUCCAUCCCAUCCCAGCUGUGCAGUGUCACUGUCCCCUCUCCUGGCUGUCCAGCCCAUCCCAGCUGUGCAGUGUCACUGUCCCUCUCCUGGCUGUCCAUCCCAUCCCAGCUGUGCAGUGUCACUGUCCCCUCUCCUGGCUGUCCAGCCCAUCCCAGCUGUGCAGUGUCACUGUCCCUCUCCUGGCUGUCCAUCCCAUCCCAGCUGUGCAGUGUCACUGUCCCCUCUCCUGGCUGUCCAGCCCAUCCCAGCUGUGCAGUGUCACUGUCCCUCUCCUGGCUGUCCAUCCCAUCCCAGCUGUGCAGUGUCACUGUCCCCUCUCCUGGCUGUCCAGCCCAUCCCAGCUGUGCAGUGUCACUGUCCCUCUCCUGGCUGUCCAUCCCAUCCCAGCUGUGCAGUGUCACUGUCCCCUCUCCUGGCUGUCCAGCCCAUCCCAGCUGUGCAGUGUCACUGUCCCUCUCCUGGCUGUCCAUCCCAUCCCAGCUGUGCAGUGUCACUGUCCCCUCUCCUGGCUGUCCAGCCCAUCCCAGCUGUGCAGUGUCACUGUCCCUCUCCUGGCUGUCCAUCCCAUCCCAGCUGUGCAGUGUCACUGUCCCCUCUCCUGGCUGUGCCCUCAGCACCCCUCAGCCCUGCUCCCACAGUGCCAGGUCACAGUGACAGCAAGGGGGCAGGGCUGGGGGAAUGGGGGCUCUGCCUCCUGGCCCCACUCAGAGCUCCAGAGCUUUGCUCAAAUCACUCCCACCAGGUGUUGAUCCAACGUGCUCUGGUCCCCAGGCGUCAGGCAGGGUUUGGUACCGUUCCCCGGGCCCCUCCCUGCUGUUUAACCCUUCUGUUCCCAGUGGGCACAGACAGCCCCAGCAGUGCCACUGGAGCCUUGGAAUGA
ensembl:lncRNA